GGGGAAAGGCAGGGGAACUUGAGGGGGCGGCGGGCCGGGAAAACGGUUGCCCCCAGCGUCUGGGAACCUGAGACUACAGGCACAAGGAAAAAAGGAAAUAUUUCAGAAAAAAAUGUGGAACACUAAGAAAAAUAGAGGUUUUUUAAAAAGUGGAUAUUCACAAGCAAAAGAAUCCAGAGACCGUGUGGAGAGCUCAGUUCACCAGUAACCAUUCAUAUUCAAUAUGGUAUUUGUGUGGUGCAUUUGAGUGUUUGUGUGUGUGUUGAAUAUGUGCAGUGUGUCUGCAGUGUAGGGUUUGUGCUUUGUAUGUAUUUUGUGUGUAUGUGUGUGGAAUAUCUGUGGUGUGAGUGUGCUGUAUGUGUAGAUUUUAGUGGGUGUUGGUUAUGGUGUGGUGUAUGUGAACUGUGUGUGUGGUAUAUAUGAAUUGUGAAUGUGGUUUAUAUGUGGAGUAUAUGCAGCGUAAGUGUGGGCUGUGCAGUGUGUGUAUGUGUGUGUUAUUUGUAUGGCAGCAAAACAUGGUCAUGAAGCAGUGUACUAAGCACAUUUUAUCAUUCACUGUCUCAUUCUGUUAUUGCCAAGUUUUUCCCAAAUGGGAAGGCCUGUGUUAAUGGGCACUGAGUAAUUUUGUUUCUUUUCAAAAGAAAUCCACUAAUGUUGUUGCCUCAUUGUGUUUUCUAAAAAUAUGGAAAAAAGGACCAGCAGUCUUAGACCUGGACGUCUCUCCCAGAGCAGAAGGGGUGGGCUGCAGAAUAAACAAUCACCUACAAGGAGGCCUGGGGGCCGGGGAGGCUCCAAAAGACUUUCCUCACUGACCCCCUUCUCCCCUGUGAAGGAGGGCUCAAAGCCCCAUACCAUUGUCUUCCAGGAGAACCUUUGGACCUGGAAGAGGAAUUUCUUAACUGUUAGCCCCUCUGUGGAGUCAGGGUAAAGGGCGUUGAUCCAUCGUGUGAGGGGAAGGGAAGGGUAGGAUCCCUUCCAUCUGGCUGGGGCUGCAAAGUCUUCAUUACCACCCCACUUACCCCUCCCACUAUUGAAGCAGAUGGGGGUGUGGCAAACACCUAAAAUGUGCAACUCCUGGGGGAGGAGGAAGCUCAGUCUCCUCACCUCUAAGCCAGGCCUCCUUGGAGACCUCAAAUAUCCCAUAAACCCUGCAUUUGGUGUGCUUCUCUCUCCCUACUACUCCCCUUGGGCCUAAGCUGGCUGCAGGUCAGACUUGCCUGAACAUGCCCCUGCCUGAAGCUUUGGAGACCCAGCUCUGGCAUCCCUGCAGCCAAGAAGCCUUCCCCAGCACGCCCACCCCCACCCUCCCAUCCCUUAGGUGACCCUCCUCAUGUCAUCCUUAUACCUGUGUAUAUCUCUUGUUAAUAAUUGUUUCCACUUUAGUCUUCUUAUUGGACUAUGAGCUUCUUGAGGAUGGUGUUCUACUCUCCUUAACUUCCAGUGGACAGCACAUAGUAAAGGCUCAGUGAACAUUCCUUGGAUGAACAGAUGAAUGGAUGGAUGGAUGGAUGGAUGGAUGGAUAAAGCAAGAAGGUGAAUUUUCCCAGAAUUGUAGACCUACAUCUGGAUUCCCAAGACCAAGGUGGGCCUUUGGGGUGGACCUUCAGAAUACCCGGAUGCUACGUUUCUAUCCUCCUUCUGACAAGUGCUGCCCAAAGUCUUGGAUGUAUCUGAACCUUUUCCUCGUUUCUCAGCUCAGGUCUGGGAGUGGGGCUUCUAAGGCCCCAAUUUAGUUCUCCAAUUGGAAGAUAGCAUACAACCCAAGGAAGCUGGGGAGAGAGGGGACAUUGUGUAGAGGGCUGAUGUGGGGAAUCUUUUCAAGCAAUUAGUACUUUACCUUCAAGUGCUUCAAAAUACUUAAAAAAAUCUUUUGACAUAAAAUUCACAUACACAUUCACAAUUUUUUUUUUAAUUUUUAUUUUUGAGACAGAGAGAGAGAGAGAGAGACAGAGCAAAGGGGAUGAGGGGCAGAGAGAGAGGGAGAUCCAGAAUCCAAAGCAGGCUCCAGGGUCUGAGCUGUCAGCACAGAGCCUGACAGGGGCCUCGAACUCAUGAACUGCAAGAUCAUGACCUGGGCCAAAGUUGGAAGCUUAACUGACUGAGCCACCCAGGUGCCCCACGAUGAACAAUUUUAAAGUGAACGAUUCAGUGGCAUUCAAUUAAUUUCCAACGUUGUGCAACCACUAUCUCUAAUUCCAAAACAUCUUUAUUACCUCAAAGGAGACCCCAGAUCCAAGCGCUGGGUCACUCUCGUCAAAAUCCUUUUGAAGUUUACAUUCCCUUGUUGGAAUAGGGUUGCUCCUUUGCCCAACUCCAGAGGGCAUCCUUCGCUUUUGAGUCUGUGCAUUUACAUAUGUCUUCUAGGGAAUUGUGCUCUAGGGAGCACGGGUCACAUAGACGUAAUGUGCAACAUGGACAGCAAGACAACCACGGGGAGACUGGCUGAACUCUGAGCAGGAGUGGCCUAGUGUCACGUCCUGGGUCCUGAGUGACUCAGGCCUCUGGAGCUGGUAACCAGGCCCCAUGUCCCAGUCACUGUGGCCAGAGCCCUGACCACACAGACACUGCCUCUUCCCGGGCCCUGCUCUAUUCCCGUGGGACCUGCCACAGCCUGCAAUUGAAAGUCAAUGAGCACUCACUCCUGGCCUCCUGCCUCUCCCGGUUCAGGCGGUUUUUGUCCAGCGCACCGAUUCCCAGGGCCUCAGUCUGGCAAGUCGCCCGAGUCGAGAUUGGGAAGUUAAACCAGAUCUUGGGGUGGGAACCCUAGAAGUCAGGAUGGGAACCCCUGAAGGACAGCCAGCUUGCCUGCAAGGCUCAGCUUGGGCACCUUCGCAGUUCUUUGGAAACAUCUCAUUGAGGGUAGUGGAGGUGGUGGGAGGAGCCAGUGGGUCAGGGCGGUGGGGAGAGGGUGGAGGGGUGUGGUAGGAGGUGGAGACAGUGGAGCCAGCAAAAGUGUUCCCAGGACUUCUGCGGCUUUUUUACUUGAAAAACAACAAACGACCUUGUCAAAAUAAGCAGGGCUGUAAGUGCACCCAGUUUAUUAGGAGGGUUGUGAAAAGCUAUUGACAGCCCAGGGCUUCAGGUAGGAUUUUGAUUGCACUGUUGCAAGAAGAACUAAAAACUCAGUGGGUAGUCUUUUUGCAAAUGAAAUUAUUUUUUGAAAUGGAAAUACUAACAAUACAAUGUAUUGUAUAGGCUUAAAAAGAAUAUGUCUUAAAAACUACCAUCUAUACCCUGAGGAAUGAAAACAGUACCAUUCUACAGAUGAGGAAAUUGAGGCCCAGAGUGAGUCCAGGAAUCCUUUCAACCAAUGGCUUUCAAGCCCAACUGAUAAUUAGAAUCAUCUGGGGAACUUGUUACCAUAGAUUCUCAUCUCUCCACCCCCUAUUUUAAUUUGGUAGGUCUGUGUGGGGCCCUUUCGUACAACAGCCCCCUAGGCGAUCCUGACGCUCGGCUCCGUUUUAGUUGGAAUGUCUGCUGGCCUCUCAGAAAGAAAGAUGAGAAGACCAAAGGGAAGUAUCCAAAGCAACCCUGAAUGGGAACCAGAUCCCACAGUCCACUGGCUUACACUGGCCCUCUCUCCCUUCACCUCAUCGCCUCUUCAGAGAGGCCUUCCCUGGUGGCCCCAUCCCUUCUUCUCCUCUGUUGUUUCCUUUCAAGGCACUCGGUCAGUAUGGAAUUAUACGGGUAUGUAUCUGUGUGGGCCCCCAAUGCCUGUCUUUCCAACUAAACUGCAAGCUUCAGGAGACCAGGGGUUGUAUCUGUUUCAUCCUGGAGCUCUAGUGCAGGGCAGGUCCACAGAGUUGCCAAUAAAUAUAUAUGAGCAGGAAAAAAUAAGUAUCCGUAUGGCCUGAGAACCUCCUCAUGUGUGCCUAGGGCAGCACUGAGAUUGGAUCAAAAACCAUAGAGUUGACAAGCCUCGAGUGCCCUGUCUUGAGGAGCUUAAGGUUAGGAAGGGAGAUGAGACACCUAGUGAAUAGCCUCACACAAGGAAGAUGGUUGAGUCAGGAACGCCCGACAGGCCCAGUGUUGUUGCUGUCAAGCGACCUGGGAAGGACAGACGGGAGGUCGGAGGCCUGGGGCAGGGAACCAGUUAGACAGUGAUUGCAAAACCUGAAAACCACUGAAGGGUCACAGCAGGAGAAUGGUUAAAGAACUACUAUCUCCACGCCACAGAAUGUUAUGUGGGUGUGAAAAAGAGGGAGGUAGACUUCGGAGAGAUGUCCAAGAUAUAUUGCUAGGUAAAAAGAACAAGUUGCAGAACAGUUUGUGUCCUCUAAUCUCAUUCUGAAGCAAAAACAGGACACUCCCCUGCAGACACACGUUGAACUGUGUGGAGAAAACAACUAGAAGGAUGCUGGAAAAACUAUUCACAGAUGUUAUCUCUGAGGGAUGGAGGGGAGGGCGAGGUUUUACUUUUUCACUUUGCACCUUAUGCACUGUUGAAUUUUGACCAGGAACGCAGUACUUUCACAAGAGUUUUUUGUUUUUGUGUUUUGCUGUUGCAGAA